GGUAUCUUACUUUGAGAUGAACUUUCUUAAUUAUUCCACAAGUGGAUAACGGCGGGCCUCAAAGCAGCAAAGUUAUUGACGAGUUCAUCUGCGUCCAGGGAUUUUACGACAGCAGGCUCAACAGCCAUCAACAUGAGGUUUGUGAGCCUGUCAUCGCUCAUGGUGGUCCGCAGCCUCAUCUCUCUCGUUGUGGCCACGGAGAGGGAGGGCCUGUCUUCCCAGAAAUGACGUGAUUUUGAACAAGGAUUUGACUUGACCCAGAGGCUGCUACUGCUGCUGCACCCGGGACUUGACCUUCCUUAUCGCUGUCCACGUCUGAUCCAGCUCUUUCAAUCUGAGAAACUGGUGGGGACUCAGACUCGGAUUCAAUUCGAGAAGUCGGUGUGGACGAGUUCUCAGCCUCCAUGCAUGUAGUCUCCGUCUCCCUGUUAGCAUCUGCAUCCCCGGCGCAGGUGCUGGAGUGGCUAACAGCCUCGUUAACAGCUUGAAUCCCACCUUCACUACCUGGUCCUUCUCCCUCCGCUGCUGGGGCAACAUUGGAGCCAUCACCUUCACCUGCCUUUUUU
ensembl:lncRNA